AGAGUGAACGCUGGCGGCAGGCCUAACACAUGCAAGUCGAACGGCAGCACAGCAGUAGCAAUACUGUGGGUGGCGAGUGGCGGACGGGUGAGGAAUACAUCGGAAUCUACCUUGUCGUGGGGGAUAACGUAGGGAAACUUACGCUAAUACCGCAUACGAACUAUGGUUGAAAGCGGCGGACCGCAAGGCGUCGCGCGAUUGGAUGAGCCGAUGUCCGAUUAGCUAGUUGGCGGGGUAAAGGCCCACCAAGGCGACGAUCGGUAGCUGGUCUGAGAGGACGGCCAGCCACACGGGGACUGAGACACGGCCCCGACUCCUACGGGAGGCAGCAGCAAGGAAUUUUCGCAAUGGGCGAAAGCCUGACGGAGCAACGCCGCGUGCGGGAGGACGCCUUUCGGGGUGUAAACCGCUUUUUCUCGGGACGACGACCGACGGUACCCGAGGAAGAAGGCCCGGCUAACUACGUGCCAGCAGCCGC
rnacentral:rRNA from 1 species